AGCAGAGGUUGAACCUUCUCAUUGAUAUUCCAUUACAUGUAGAUGCUGUGUGACAUGGCAGCAGAGGAGCAGUUUGACAGAAUGAUGUCUGAAAUGAAAAUGCAUGUGAAGAAAAGGUGAUGCAGCAAGACCUAACUGCAGUGGAAGAGAUUAAACAGGUGAAAAGCAGGAACAGAAUCAUAGAAUGGUUUAUGUUGGAGGGCAACUUCAUCUUAUUACAACCCCCUUGCUGUGGGCAUGGCUGCCAAACACCAGAUCGGGCUGCCCAGGAUCCCAUCCAGCCCAGCCUUGGAUGUCUCCAGGGAUGGGGCAUCCAUAGCUUCUCCAGGUAG
ensembl:lncRNA